CCUACGGGCGGCAGCAGUAGGGAAUCUUCCACAAUGGGCGAAAGCCUGAUGGAGCAACGCCGCGUGGGUGAAGAAGGUCUUCGGAUCGUAAAACCCUGUUGUUAGAGAAGAAAGUGCGUGAGAGUAACUGUUCACGUUUCGACGGUAUCUAACCAGAAAGCCACGGCUAACUACGUGCCAACAGCCGCGGGAAUACGUAGGUGGCAAGCGUUAUCCGGAUUUAUUGGGCGUAAAGGGAACGCAGGCGGUCUUUUAAGUCUGAUGUGAAAGCCUUCGGGUUAACCGGAGUAGGGCAUUGGAAACUGGCGGACUGGAGGGGAGGAGGGGCAAGUGGAAGGCGUGGUGUAGAGGUGGAAGGCGGAGAUAUUAGGAGGAACACCAGGGGCGAAGGCGGGGUGCUG
rnacentral:rRNA from 1 species